ACUCCGUACGGGAGGCAGCAGUGGGGAAUAUUGCACAAUGGGGGAAACCCUGAUGCAGCCAUGCCGCGUGUGUGAAGAAGGCCUUCGGUUGUAAAGCACUUUCAGUAGGGAGGAAGGUAGUGUAGUUAACACCUGCAUUAUUUGACGUUACCUACAGAAGAAGCACCGGCUAACUCCGUGCCAGCAGCCGCGGUAAUACGGAGGGUGCGAGCGUUAAUCGGAAUUACUGGGCGUAAAGCGCAUGCAGGCGGCCUGUUAAGUCAGAUGUGAAAGCCCGGGGCUUAACUCGGAAUUGCAUUUGAAACUGGCAGGCUAGAGUCUUGUAGAGGGGGUAGGAAUUUCAGGUGUAG
rnacentral:rRNA from 1 species